CCGAAGUAACAAGCUUCAAAAGCAUUCAAUUGGUUUUCUUCCCGGUCGUUUUACCAGAUCACUACUAUUUGCUGUGUGUCAACUUUGUGGAAGGAACAUUUGAUUUGAUUGACAACAGAUUUCUUCCACCAAAUAUUCCUUUUCAAAAUAAAUAUGGAAAUUACCAUAGAUUAAUGGUAAGACAUCAAAGUUUACAUUUUUUUAAUUAUACUUUUGUUCUAACUUUUGCCUUAUAUGUUCUACAGUUUUCCCUUUAUGUUCUACAGUUUUUCUUUAUGUUCUAAAGUUUACCUUAUAUGUUCUAAAGUUUAUCCAAUUUUUCAGUUGAAUGCAUUUGGUGAUUUCGUUCACUCAAUUGACUCAAAUAUAAAGAGUGACUUUGUAUCCUCCUUCAAAACAAGAAACUUGAGUAUGUCAUGGAAGAGCAAUAAGAACAAACAUGAUUGUGGAGUGUUCCUGUUGAAGCACAUGGAAACAUAUGAAGGAGAAUCUGUAAAACAAUGGAAUUCGAGACUAGAAUUAGACAAUUUUGACCAAAUGAAAAAAUUAAGAGUGGAGUAUUGUGGGAAGAUAAUAACAGCAAAAGUAAAUGAAGAACGGAACAAAGUGAUUAGGAGAUCAAAAAAGUGGUCAAAGGAGAACAAAAUGGAUAUAUGAUUGUUAAGAUCUUAAGUUUAUAUUUGUAGAGAGACAAUUACUUAUUACCUCAUGUAGAACUCAAUCAAAGUGAGAUGGGGAUUUGUG